rnacentral:tRNA from 1 species
UGGGGCGUCGUCUAAUCGGCAGGACACCAGAUUUUGGAUCUGGCGGUGGUGGUUCGAAUCCACCCGCCCCAG